GUUGGUGAACCAGCGGAGGGAUCAUUACCGAGUUUACAACUCCCAAACCCAAUGUGAACGUUACCAAACUGUUGCCUCGGCGGGAUCUCUGCCCCGGGUGCGUCGCAGCCCCGGACCAAGGCGCCCGCCGGAGGACCAACCAAAACUCUUUUUGUAUACCCCCUCGCGGGUUUUUUAUAAUCUGAGCCUUCUCGGCGCCUCUCGUAGGCGUUUCGAAAAUGAAUCAAAACUUUCAACAACGGAUCUCUUGGUUCUG
rnacentral:misc_RNA from 1 species